GACGAAGGGGGCUAGCGUUGUCCGGAUUUACUGGGCGUAAAGAGCGCGCAGGCGGUCGUUCAAGUCGCGUGUGAAAGCCCCCGGCUCAACUGGGGAGGGUCACGCGAUACUGAUCGACUCGAAGGCAGGAGAGGGAAGUGGAAUUCCCGGUGUAGUGGUGAAAUGCGUAGAUAUCGGGAGGAACACCAGUGGCGAAGGCGACUUCCUGGCCUGUUCUUGACGCUGAGGCGCGAAAGCUAGGGGAGCAAACGGG
rnacentral:rRNA from 1 species